rnacentral:rRNA from 1 species
AUGGCGACGGCGAGCAUGGUUGGCAUGCCCAAGAGCCCCCGGUCGGUGGCCUUCGGGACGGCUGCCUCGCCCUUCGGGGACAGGAGGAAGGCCCGGUUCUGCGUCGCGGCGUGCGGCAGGGACGACCAGCAGCCGCCCCCGUCGAUGGCCGCGGUGCCGGCGUCGCUGCGGGCGAUCCAGGCCAAGAGGAAGAUGGCGGCGCAGGCGCGUGGGGUGCCGCGGGCGACGAGCGCGGCAGGGUGCGCGGUGGCCGCGCUCGCCGCCGCGGUGGAGGCCGUGCAGGGCGCGGCGGUCGGGGGAGCCUCCGGCGCCGCGCGCGGCGCCGGGGAUGCCGUGGCGUGGGUCUUCCAGAAGGUGCACUUCGAGUCGCCCGACCUCGCCGUGGGACUGCUCGGUAUCGUCGCGUCCUGCCUCGGCACGGCCGUGGAGAUGGAGAUGGAGCGGAUUAGGGCCAAGGAGAUCGAGGAGGCGGCCAGCAAGGCCAAACCCGCCGCCGCUGUCGACGACGACGAUGACAACGGCGAAGACGCGGAGGAGGCAGACGAUCUAACGAUGCUGGUGGGGAUGGAAAUGGAGAAGGAGCUCUGGGCCAGGAUCGGCAUCCAUCAUGACGACGACGACGACAUGCCGCUGGGCGACAACGACGACGAGCAGGAGGCCAUUGAGACCGCCCGCGCCGGCAUACGGAAGGCCGCGUACGAGCGGAUCAUUGCCACCUCCGAGGCCAACUCGCUCAUCCUAUCCAACUACGCGCAGCUCCUCUACGAGUUCGACAAGGAUCUCGACAGGGCGGAGGACUAUUUCAAGCGUGCAGUGGCCAUCGAGCCGCCCGACGGCGAGGCGAUGCGGAGGUACGCGGUGUUCCUCUGGCAAGCCCGCGGCGACCUGGCCGGCGCGGAGGACAUGUUCACCGGCGCCAUCGACGAGGAGCCGGACAGCAGCCACCACCGGAGCAGCUACGCGUGGUUCCUCUGGAUGACCGGCGGUGUGGAGACCUGCGUCAUCGACUCCAGCAACAACAACGACACUGAAUGA